AGUGAACGCUGGCGGCGUGCUUAACACAUGCAAGUCGAACGAGAACGGGUUAUAGCUUGCUAUAAUUGUCAGCUAAGUGGCGCACGGGUGAGUAAUGUAUAGGUAAUAUGCCUCUUACUAAGGGAUAACAAAUGGAAACGUUUGCUAAUACCUUAUACUCCUUAUUAACAUAAGUUAAUAAGGGAAAGAUUUAUUGGUAAGAGAUUAGCCUGUAUUGUAUCAGUUAGUUGGUGGGGUAAUGGCUUACCAAGACUUUGACACAUAACUGGUUUGAGAGGAUGAUCAGUCACACUGGAACUGAGACACGGUCCAGACUCCUACGGGAGGCAGCAGUGGGGAAUAUUGCACAAUGGACGAAAGUCUGAUGCAGCAACGCCGCGUGGAGGAUGACACAUUUCGGUGCGUGAACUCCUUUUAUAUGAGAAGAUAAUGACGGUAUUAUAUGAAUAAGCACCGGCUAACUCCGUGCCAGCAGCCGCCGUAA
rnacentral:rRNA from 1 species